UACGUAGGGUGCAAGCGUUGUCCGGAAUUAUUGGGCGUAAAGAGCUCGUAGGCGGUCUGUCACGUCGGCUGUGAAAUCCCGAGGCUCAACCUCGGGUCUGCAGUCGAUACGGGCAAACUAGAGUAUUGCAGGGGAGACUGGAAUUCCUGGUGUAGCGGUGAAAUGCGCAGAUAUCAGGAGGAACACCGAUGGCGAAGGCAGAUCUCUGGGCCGUAACUGACGCUGAGGAGCGAAAGCGUGGGGGAGCGAACAGG
rnacentral:rRNA from 1 species